GAUUUACUCCCUCCGUUCCAAAAUAGAUGACUCAACUUUGUACUAACUUUAGUAUAAAAUUAGUACAAAGUUGAGUCAUCUAUUUUGGAACGGAGGGAGUAUUUC
rfam:Triticum aestivum genome assembly, contig: Triticum_aestivum_CS42_TGACv1_scaffold_456501_5DS